UUAACAAAUUAGACAAGUAUUUAUCUGUUGGAUGAAAGAAUAUCUUGGGUAAGCACUGUUUUUCUUUGCAUCUCCUUUCCUUGAGAGUCAAUCUUCAGUUCUGGGAAGGAGGUAUGUGAAAUCAUUGUAAACUUACAGCAAGUUUUCUGAGGGUUGUGGGCGUGGAUCUUCUGCUACCAAUUAAAUAAAGCUUGUUUUGUCAUA
rnacentral:lncRNA from 1 species